GGCCAAACCUUGCGCGUGUGAUACCCGUCGGGGGGUUGCGCGCGGGGUGUUGCGGGAUCGCGUGCGCCGGCUCCGACGGGCCGCCGGCAGUUGCAGAAAACCAUGUGUCAGGGGAACCGGGUUGAAUACCGGGCCGCAGAGGGUGAGGGCCCCGUACCUGAACGCGCAUGGUCUGCCGAUCGCGUCUCCCAAGUAGCACGGGUCCCGUGGAACCCCGUGCGAAUCCGCCCAGACCGUUGGGUAAGCCUGAAUAUUCCUGUCUGACCGAUAGCGAAACGAGUACCGUGAGGGAAAGGUGAAAAGUACCCCGGGAGGGGAGUGAAACAGUCUCUGAAACCGUGCGCCUACAAUCCGUCGGAGCCCUUUUGUGGGGUGACGGCGUGCCUAUCGAAAAAUGAGUCUGCGAGUCAGUGGCAUGUGGCGAGCAUAACCCGUGUGGGGUAUGCGUAGCGAAGGCGAGUCUUAAAAGGCGUUUGAGUCGCGUGUCCUGGACCCGAAGCGGGGAUGAUCUAGCCCUGAGCAGGUUGAAGCGCGGGUAAGACCGCGUGGAGGACCGAA
rnacentral:rRNA from 1 species